rnacentral:rRNA from 1 species
AUAUCAAUAAGCGGGGAAAAAGAAACUAACAAGGAUUCCCCUAGUAACUGCGAGUGAAGCGGGAAAAGCUCAAAUUUAAAAUCUGGCGGUCUCCGGCCGUCCGAGUUGUAAUCUAGAGAAGUGUUAUCCGCGCUGGACCGUGUACAAGUCUCCUGGAAUGGAGCGUCAUAGAGGGUGAGAAUCCCGUCUUUGACACGGACUGCCAGGGCUUUGUGAUGCGCUCUCAAAGAGUCGAGUUGUUUGGGAAUGCAGCUCAAAAUGGGUGGUAAAUUCCAUCUAAAGCUAAAUAUUGGCGAGAGACCGAUAGCGAACAAGUACCGUGAGGGAAAGAUGAAAAGAACUUUGGAAAGAGAGUUAAACAGUACGUGAAAUUGCUGAAAGGGAAACGCUUGAAGUCAGUCGCGUUGGCCGGGGAUCAACCUUGCUUUUGCUGGGCGUACUUUCCGGUUGACGGGUCAGCAUCAAUUUUGACCGUUGGAUAAAGUYCAGGGGAAUGUGGCAUCUUCGGAUGUGUUAUAGCCCUUGGUCGCAUACAACGGUUGGGAUUGAGGAACUCAGCACGCCGCAAGGCCGGGUACUUGUACCACGUUCGUGCUUAGGAUGCUGGCAUAAUGGCUUUAAUCGACCCGUCUUGAAACACGGACCAAGGAGUCUAACAUGCCUGCGAGUGUUUGGGUGGAAAACUCGGACGCGUAAUGAAAGUGAAAGUUGAGAUCCCUGUCGCGGGGAGCAUCGACGCCCGGACCAGACCUUUUGUGACGGAUCCGCGGUAGAGCAUGUAUGUUGGGACCCGAAAGAUGGUGAACUAUGCCUGAAUAGGGUGAAGCCAGAGGAAACUCUGGUGGAGGCUCGUAGCGAUUCUGACGUGCAAAUCGAUCGUCAAAUUUGGGUAUAGGGGCGAAAGACUAAUCGAACUCAUCUAGUAGCU